GGUUAAUUUUCCAACAGUUGCAGCUCUUCUAAUGGCAGGAUGAUUAUUGCAGGCUAGAACACUGCUCUGUGGCUGCCAGCUGCUUCAGGCCCUCACACCCUCCCACCCCAAAGAGGGGCUCUUGUUUUGGGGGGUGACAGAGGGAGAUGGAGAAUGAGACGCUUUGAUUAAGGAAGUAGCAGACAUGGAAUGGAGAGUGGCCAGUCCUUGGCUAAUUCACUUUUGAGAAGAUGGCAAAUGUGGCUCUUCCCACCAGUGCGGAAUUGAACUUUCUCAGCACCAGUCCUGGUUGGCUUUGGUGCAUUAGCCAUGUCUCUUACCCUUAAAUAUUAACACAGAAUCACCUAAGAAUAUUGGACUUGAAGAGGACAAGAUGACUGGAGGCUUGCUUUCUCCCCUGAUGGAAAUCUCAAGAUUCUACAUGUUUGUUACAGUUAUUACAAAAUAUUGAGCAUAUUUCCUUGUGCCCUCCUCUGUUCAUGGAAUUCUCCAGGCAAGAAUAUUGGAGUGAGUUGCCAUUUCCACCUCCACGGGAUCUUCCCGGCCCAGGGAUGGAACGCGUGUCUCUUGCAUUGCAGGCAGAUUCUUCAUGGCCUGAGACACCAGGGAAGACAAUGCCAUGUUGAGAGAGCCACAGUACUGAACACUUGUUGCUUCUGUUUGAAGUUUUUGGAGAGGCUCUCUAGAAGAGUUUGUUAAUAUUCAUUUAUUCUUCUAGCAUUUAUUGAGCAUCUACAGUGUGGUGGGUACUAUGUACAUCCUGGAGAUGAGAUCAAGAGACACAGUAUCUGAAGGAGUUUAAUAUCUAAAGGGUGCUAGACUUGCAAAUAAACACCAAGACAGCUGCCCUAAUUGAGUGUCU
rnacentral:lncRNA from 1 species